AUUGAACGCUGGCGGCAGGCCUAACACAUGCAAGUCGAACGAGUGGCGGACGGGUGAGUAAUGUCUGGGAAACUGCCUGAUGGAGGGGGAUAACUACUGGAAACGGUAGCUAAUACCGCAUACCAUCGGAUGUGCCCAGAUGGGAUUAGCUAGUAGGUGGGGUAACGGCUCACCUAGGCGACGAUCCCUAGCUGGUCUGAGAGGAUGACCAGCCACACUGGAACUGAGACACGGCCCAGACGCCUACGGGAGGCAGCAGUGGGGAAUAUUGCACAAUGGGCGCAAGCCUGAUGCAGCAAUGCCGCGUGUAUGAAGAAGGCCUUCGGGUUGUAAAGUACUUUCAGUGGGGAGGCGUUACCCGCAGAAGAAGCACCGGCUAACUCCGUGCCAGCAGCCGCGGUAAUUC
rnacentral:rRNA from 1 species